rnacentral:rRNA from 1 species
UACGUAGGGUGCGAGCGUUAAUCGGAAUUACUGGGCGUAAAGCGUGCGCAGGCGUCUUGCAAGACAGAUGUGAAAUCCCCGGGCUUAACCUGGGAACUGCAUUUGUGACUGCAAGGCUAGAGUGCGGCAGAGGGGGAUGGAAUUCCGCGUGUAGCAGUGAAAUGCGUAGAUAUGCGGAGGAACACCGAUGGCGAAGGCAGAUCUCUGGGCCGUAACUGACGCUGAGGAGCGAAAAGCAUGGGGAGCGAACAGG